UUGACUUCAGUCCACACACAGAACUGGAGCCCAUCUAUAGGUCCACUCUGCCGAGGUGUGGUAAUGUUGACUUCAGUCCACACACAGAACUGGAGCCCAUCUAUAGGUCCACUCUGCCGAGGUGUGGUAAUGUUGACUUCAGUCCACACACAGAACUGGAGCCCAUCUAUAGGUCCACUCUGCCGAGGUGUGGUAAUGUUGACUUCAGUCCACACACAGAACUGGAGCCCAUCUAUAGGUCCACUCUGCCGAGGAGUGGUAAUGUUGACUUCAGUCCACACACAGAACUGGAGUCCAUCUAUAGGUCCACUCUGCCGAGGUGUGGUAAUGUUGACUUCAGUCCACACACAGAACUGGAGCCCAUCUAUAGGUCCACUCUGCCGAGGUGUGGUAAUGUUGACUUCAGUCCACACACAGAACUGGAGCCCAUCUAUAGGUCCACUCUGCCGAGGUGUGGUAAUGUUGACUUCAGUCCACACACAGAACUGGAGCCCAUCUAUAGGUCCACUCUGCCGAGGUGUGGUAAUGUUGACUUCAGUCCACACACAGAACUGGAGCCCAUCUAUAGGUCCACUCUGCCGAGGUGUGGUAAUGUUGACUUCAGUCCACACACAGAACUGGAGCCCAUCUAUAGGUUCACUCUGCCGAGGUGUGGUAAUGUUGACUUCAGUCCACACACAGAACUGGAGCCCAUUGUAGUUCUAUAGGUCCACUCUGCCGAGGAGUGGUAAUGUUGACUUCAGUCCACACACAGAACUGGAGCCCAUUGUAGUUCUAUAGGUCCACUCUGCCGAGGAGUGGUAAUGUUGACUUCAGUCCACACACAGAACUGGAGCCCAUUGUAGUUCUAUAGGUCCACUCUGCCGAGGAGUGGUAAUGUUGACUUCAGUCCACACACAGAACUGGAGCCCAUUGUAGUUCUAUAGGUCCACUCUGCCGAGGAGUGGUAAUGUUGACUUCAGUCCACACACAGAACUGGAGCCCAUUGUAGUUCUAUAGGUCCAC